GUGGGUGUGGCCUAGUCGGCUAAGGCGUCAGAUUGUGGCUCUGAAGAUCGUGGGUUCGAGUCCCAUCACCCACCCCA
rnacentral:tRNA from 1 species